AAAUAAAUAAAAUAAAAAAAGUAAUCAAAACCAGUUUCAACUUUAUAGGUAUAGAAUACAGUCUUUAGUUUGCAAUGACACCUGGGUAGCUCCACUUGUAAUUUAAAGGAACACUGCACACACCACGUUUGCUCACCUUGCCUUGGCAAACCACCACCCCCACCCAAUGCAAGAUGCUAAAACAUUUUAGAAUGAUUUGACUACUUAUUUGAGGCUCACUGAAUGCCAAGCUCCACAUCUACUAUUUAUUGUUGAGAGCCAAAGCUCCUAAGCAGCUCUUCUCAGCCCUAGUUGAGGGCAUUGGCUUUU